rnacentral:lncRNA from 1 species
AAGACCAAUCGAAGGCGAGGGUUAGGUUUUGGAUCCAUUCGAUGGUUAGUUUUGCGUCUUCUGGCCAGGAUAUCGGGAGUUGGAGUUCUGGUGGUGGUGAUGAGGAGGAAGAUGAUUGUGGUGGUGGUGGUGGUGGUGGUUCUGGGUUUUGAUCCGGUGUGAUGGUGCCGUUGAGGGUGGCGGUGGUGGAAUCUGGUGGUGGUGAUGGGGGUGGUGGUUCUGAAUCAGUGGAAAGAUCCAUUGUAAGAGUGACAAGACAAUAGUUGUAAAGUGUUGUAAGAGUAUAUAUACUAUUUGUCUCCUUUUUUUUUUUUUUAACUCUUCGACUUCAAAAAGCGUUGAAAGGGAACAAUCUAGUAAUUCGAAGUUUGAUCGUGAAAUAGAUAUAGUAUCGUUAAUAAUUAAUUGUUUAACUCAAUAAUUUAAUUUGGGUUCUUCCAAAUAUUUUGUCAUUUGUUGCAAUUCAUUAAUCAAUUCAGUUUAAUUAUUAUGUUUUUUUAAUAAAUAUUGGUUUUGAUUGGAGAUAGAUCGUUUCGUGCCACUUGACAAUUUUGUGCAAAGCUCGGCAAUGGCACCCCCAGCUAGCUCGGGCUCAGCUGCUACUUUCUUUGUACAAGUCCAGCCCAAUAGCCCUUUUUCCUACUUAAAAAAAAAAAAAAAAAAAGAAAAAGAAGACAGAAUGUGUUUUAUUUUAUUUUUUUAUAUUUUCUAUUCUACUAUAAAUUCUAAAAAUGAAUAAUUCAUAAAAUUACCAUUAAAAUUAGUUUAAUCAAUAUUAUUGGAAUUUAAAAUUGAUUAGUAUAAUCAAUUUUUAGAAUAAAUUAUUGAAGUGGCUUAAGUAUAAUAAUUCUCCCUAAUUGUAAACUAUUGUACCAUUAACCCAAAUCAAUACUCAAUACUCACAAAAAUACUCAAUACUCACAUAAAUCAAAAUCUAUAUAUACUUACUUAAUUGCUCAUGUAGUUUAUGGUAACAAAAUUUGAAUCACCAUUCAUAAUAGCUUAAUAGACAAAAUGACAUAAUAUUAAGUUACAACUUACAUUCACUUAAUACCUCAAAAAACUUACAAUCACUUCUACAAGUUUCAUGGUGGUUUUUUUGUGGUGGCCAGAGUUUAAACCCCGAACCUUGCAUAUUUUAUGCAUUGUUCAUACAAACUGAGAUAAGCUCACGUGGACAGUUUCAUGGUGGUUUAAACGAAAGAAUAAGGCUUCAAUUUCAAGUAUAUUUUGAGUCAUUGGUGGUUUAAUCCACUUUGGUGUCUUGGUUGCAUGCUUCGUUUGUGUAAAUUGUGUUAGUGGUUGCAUGGUUGUAUUUCGUUGUUGUUGGUCUUUUAUUAUUGUGUAUUAGCCAUGUUUUACCCUAUCAGUUACACAUCUUAUGCUAAAAUGGUUUAUCCUACCAUUUUCGUUUCUUACUUUUAAAAAAAUGCAUGGAGAUUACUAAAAGAAUUUUACUAUAAUAUAGCAACGAUCUCACCCCUAACAUUUAGACCGAUGAAUUACAUGCUUUUUGUUAAUGUAUUUAGCUUCCAAGAAGCAAUAAUCUCCCUUUGGUUAUUUUUGAAAUGGAUCCUAAUGAACCACUGCAUAUUGUUGUGUUUGGUUUUACAUGUACUAGGUGUUUUUGAGGUGAUAUCCCAUCCCAUCGUCAGUGCUUAGUCUUAUAAUCCUUCAAAGACGGUUGUAAAAUAAUCAUCAAUGUCACAUUAAUUAAUAAAAAAUUAUCACUUUCUAAUUUAUUAAUUUAAAAAGAAAAACUAGGCAAAGGAACUCUCCUUGAUAAAGCUUUCACAUUGGAAAACUUUUGUCAUGCAUGUUUAUCAUGAAUAGAAUCAUUGUGUAGGAGUAAAAGUUGUCUUAUUUGUUUAGUUGUAGUUUUUUCUAUAUCUUUUCCCCGUUAUAAAAAAUAGAAUGAAUCCAAUGAUAAACCAAUAGUGAAAUAAGUAUUAGACUAGAGAAAAUGUGUAGCUUGCAUUCUUGCAACUAGUUUAGCAUGUAAAGGGAAUGAUAAUUGUUGAAGAGAUCUAAUGUGAUACUUGAAAUUCAACUAAACAUCUAUCGGAAGUUUAAAUUCAAUUAGGUUGUAAACACAAAAUUUGUUAUCGAAAGUUACGUUUAGAUAGGUUGAACUAUUUCGAUGUUUGUAUAACAUUCAUAAAAAAAAGAAAAAAAAUCUCAAUUCAAACUUCGAGUUGGCCCGAUUGCACGACACUCACACCAUAAAACCCUAGUAUUCUUUUUGGAAUACAGAGGAAAGCAUCAAUGUUUUCGUGGGUCUCACACCCUUUAGUGAGAAAAAGCAAACCACUAAGUCAUUAAAGCCAAUUAAUAAGUCAAACUUUGCUAACUUUGCUAUAUUAAAAUCUUUUUUACAAUCACAUAUCAAAAUCCUACUCCCUCCACUAAGAAAAUAAACUAUCUAUCUGACUAAUUAACAUAAAUUAAAAAAAUAGUAUACUACCCAAAAAAAAAAAAGGUGUAUAAACAAAAGAGUGAUAAUAAUAUUUUACGAUAAUGCAUUUAUUAAAUAUUAAUGUAUAUCAUACUAUAAUUGUAAAAUGAAAGUUGUGCACGUAUUAUUAAUUACGAGGGUUGAACCCACAACCUCCUUAUACUCCCCCACCCCAACCACUUCAAUCACCUUAUAUCUCCCCAAAAUAGAUCAAUUGCAAUUGUGGAGCAAAUGAAUAGUAUGUGCUCUAACAACCCAAAAUGGGAAUUUCACUAAUUUGAAAAUGACCAUCAUAUUCUUGUUCCGCUGUAAUCACCUACUUUGAAAAAGAAAUAUUGGCAUUUUCUACAUUUUUACGGUUCCUCAUUGUCACAUAUGACCCUACCAAUGAUUCAACACCUUGAUGUAUAUGGUCCCCUCAACCUAUAUCUAUAUCUAUAUAGGCUAGGCUAUAUCUAUCUAUUUGAACAUUCACAACUUCUCUCAAGUCUAACUCCAAUCCCAAGUCAUACAUAUCAACAAUUCACACUCUUAAAAACCCCUUUGUCUUUGCAUCACAAGACCAAAAACCCUCAAAUUCCUACACACCUUUGCUUCCUUUUUCUAUUCACAUCACAACCAUCAUUUCCUCACCAAUUUCAUAUAACAAAAAAAUACCCUUAAAAAUUCCAAACUCAUAUUUUCUUAGAAAAUAAGGACCCUAAACAAAUCAUGGGUCAUAUGAGCUACAACAGAGUUAGCAAUGGAAGCAACAAAGGUUUUAGAUUAAAUCCAAGAAAAUUUUAUGUUCUGAGGCUACGCAAGAGGUUUAAUUUCUUUCUUAGGCUCUUUAAUAAUUUGAAAUUAUCAUAUGGUGAUGCUCUUCAAAUGUUGAAGAAAGUGUUUUGUAGAAAAAUUGGUUUCAAAAGAAACAAUAGUAGUAGGAGAAGUUUGGUUAGGGAUGAAGAAGUUAAGGGUCAUGAUGAUUAUUGGAAGAUGAGAUCAUCUUAUGGAAGGUCCAAUUCUUUUUAUGCUGAAGCCAUUGAAGAUUGCUUGGAGUUCAUCAAAAGAACAUCUAUUUCUUCUAAAGAUCAAAUUCAAGAUUCAUGAUAGAAAUUCAUGACUGCUUUUUUGUGUACAAUUACAUAAUACAUCAUUAUAUUACAUGUUUAUCUUCUCAUUCGAGGAAUUAGUCUCUAUUCUCUAAUUAGUUUGGUUGUGCACGAAAAUAUUCAACAUAUACCAAAAAUUAAUAUGCAGGUAUUAAUUUUACUCUAUUUUUUAUGCAUGCUUUUAUUUUAUUUUUCUUUCUAAUUUUUAGGAUUGAUAGCAAAAAUAUACUCAAUUUCAUGUGUAUAUUUCAUCAUGAGUUCUGGAUUGGUAAAAUGGGGUUAUUCUCUAUAAACAUGUGUGAGAAAUGUCCAAGAGGUUGAAUUUUUUUUAAGGGUCAAAGGUUGAAUAUGGAUAUAUAAAAUAUGUUAAUUUACAUAAAAUAUAUAUACAUAGUUCAUUUAAUUUGGAAAUUUUGGAUUGAUUAGCGCGUUGAUUUUUUUUUUUUGGAUUACCACCUAACACGACAUUAAUUUUUGACUAAACUAAAGAUAAAGUGGCUAAAGGCAAAAGCAAUGUUGACAUUUAGACUAGAAAAAGGGAAGACAGUCAUGUCCUUCAAUUUAAAAUUUAUUUCAUUGUUAUAGCUUAAUUAGUUUAGUAGCCAUGCUACUCAUUCCUAACAAUAUAAAAUUAACUGAUAAUAUAAUUCUUGAUUCUCAUAUCAUUGUUGAUGUUGAUGAGUCAUCUGAUAAUACUUAACUUCUCAGCCAAUACUAUCUUGUUGACUACACUAAAAUCAUCUUCAAUGGAGAGAAAAAAUAACUUAAAGUUGGUUUUAUAAAUGGUUCCUACAAUGUUAUGUUACCCUUAAACAAUUCAAACAUAUUUUAGUUCAAUGCUAAAAGUUCAUGCAACCUUCAAGGAUCCAGUGCUUUUUUUUAGGUGGUGUUCGAGGUUCGAACCCAAACAUUGCAUAUGUUAUGUGUUGUCACUUAUCCCUACCAACUGAGUUAAGUUAUAAUUCUAUGUUUUUAAAAACCUCUAAGAUACCUCCAUUAAAUUAAGAAGGAGAUAGUGCUGAUGAUGAUGAUGAAUCAAUAGGUAAUUUUUUUAACACAACGAUUCCCAUUGAGUUUGAUUGGGUAUAUUAAACCCUUAUCCAAUUUUUUUUUGUGGUGCCCGGGAUUUGCUCCGGACCUUACAUAUAUUAUGUAUUGUUAUUUGUUAUUACCGACUGAGUUAAGCUCACGAGAACAUAGUAUUUCUUAUCUAAUAGAUCAUUGUCAUGUCAUAUUUUAAUUUUAAUUUAUUUUAAAAUAAAUUUAAAUGUUAAAAAUAAAAAUUUGCUACAAAGUACCGGUACCUAACUAAACUCUAAAGUACCUAUACUAAACUCUAAAGUACCUAUGAAUUCACCUUUUUUAUUUAUUUAAUUUUUGGUGCAAAAUAAAAACCCAUUAUAGUGAAAUAUUUUAUCUUUUAAAGUACCCUUCACAUUUUUUUUUAUUACCUUUUAAAAAAGAGAAAUAUUUUAUCUUCCAUUAUAGUGAAAAUAAAAACUCAAAUAUUUUGAUAAUAAGAAAUCAUGUUCUCCCCUUAGAUCGAUCCUGUAUUUAAAAUCUGAUCUGUUAUAAUAGUAUAAGCGAGAUUUAAGAUCUUCAUCUACUGAACUCACGUAUUCUUCCGUUGUUAACUCUAAAUUAUCUUGUUCAUAAAGCUGCAAAAUAAAGAAUUUUAUUAGUAAGAUCCAAGGAUUAUUCUUUGCAAUAACUUAUUAUAAGCUUACAUAUAUCACUUUCAUUCCAUUUCAUGCGUUAAUACACUGGUUCUUGCGUUUUGUUAUUACCGACCCCAAAUUAGUUAUGCAAUCACGCAUUGCCAUGUUUUGAAAGAAAAAAGAAAAUUUGAACAAGCAAAAAUGAUAUAAAUCUCUUCAGCAUAAGGUGUACUAGAGAGAUCACAAAGAAUAUAUCAAGUCAGCACCUGAAUAUAGAUAUAAAUUAGUCGAUUCUCAAACAAACCAGCGAGCUCGACCAUCACUUUUGAAUCCCAAAAACAAAAACGGAUUUUCUUAACUUGAAACUACCAUAAAGAAUACGACUCAACUUUUUUUAAUAAUUGAAACAUUUUGACAAAAUUAAAAAUAGCCUAGCUCCCCUAUCAGGAUUAGGUCUAAUUGAAGGAGUUAAAAUCAUGAUUGAUUAUGCGUUCAUAUUUAUUUAAUAUCCGACAAUGUCAAAUUGAAUUACGUUCGGUAGAGAAAAUCUAUAGAAAAAAAUCAGCUUGACUUCACCAAUUUGUUUUAACACAUGGACAAAAAGCCAAAUGUAGCUGCAAUUGGACAUAUCUCAGCAAGAAAAUUCAAAUUUCAUUUUAUAAAUGAAAAAUGAAAUUUAGAAAAUGAAAAUGAAAAUGAUAUAUAUAUAUAUAUAUAUAUAUAUAUAUAUAUAUAUAUAUAUAUAUCUUUGUGUGUAUCAUAUCAUCUUACAGUUUGUAAAAAAGUAAAGACCGGUGCUAGUCACACCCCAAAAAAAACAAGUUACACCUCAGAAUGACUAAUAUACCCUUUAACUAAAAUAAAAAUUUCAAAUCAACUAAAUUUACAUUAACGUAAAUUGAACAUAAGUAAACUUAAUUUACAUUAACCUAGAUUGAACGUAAGUAAACUGAAUUUACAAACUUAAUUUACAUUAACCUAGAUUGAACGUAAGUAAACUGAAUUUACAUUUGAACAUAAGUAAACUUAAUUUACAUUAACCUAGAUUGAACGUAAGUAAACUUAAUUUACAUUAAUUUAGAUUGAACGUAAGUAAACUGAAUUUACACUAACCUCUUAUAUACAUACGUAAACUAAAUUUACAUUAACCUAAAUUGAACAUAAGUAAACUUAAUUUACAUUAACCUAGAUUGAAUGUAAGUAAACUGAAUUUACACUAACCUAAAUUGAACAUACGUAAACUUGAAUUUACAUUAACCUACAUACGUAAACUACACUAACCCCUUUUAUACACAUACACGUAAACUUAAUUUACACUAACCUCUCACUUAAAAUCAAAUUGACAGGCAUAUCUCAUACCAAUACAAACAAUAAACAAAUAGAAACUCAUCGAAAAUGAAAUUUAUGAAAUUCAUUAACCUUUAUGAAUAUAGUACAAAUUAAUAACAAAAAAAUGUUGAUUCAGAUAUUGGUUGCACAUCUAUGGUGAUUUGUGGAUGAAAGGGGGUAAGGGUUCAGAAUGAUCAUAAAAGAUGAAUUUUUAAAAAUUUACACAAAGAGGGCAAUUUUGAUAUUAUUGUAAAAUUUUAAAUAAAUUUGAGUGUAACUUAUUUUUUUUUGGGUGUGACUAGCACCAGUCAAAAGUAAAUCAUAGUAUAUCUUACAUUAAGUGUAAUCUAUUUUAUUAACUCAUUCUAUCUCAAGUUAAAAAAAUAAUUAGGCACUUUAAUUCAAUAUAAAAAUUUUAAUUUAAAAUUGAAAUGAAAAUGUAAUGUUGGAUUUAUAUUCAAUCAAUAUAUUUUAAAAUUUUAGAAAUGAAUUUUAAUUUACCUCAAAAAAAAAUUGAAUUUUAAUUGAAGUUGGUUUAUUAAAAUUCAAGAACAAAAAAAUGUAAAAAAAAUAUUUCAAUGUCAUUUUUCUUCCUACUUUUGUUUGUUCUACCUAACAAUUCAUGUUAUCUAUCUUAUUAUAUUGGCCGAGUUCGAUCUCUAAUAAAUAUAUUGAUCAAAGUUUAACUACUUCUCAAACGGAAGUAGAAUCUCUAAUUUUAUAGUGCAAAUAUAAAAUUGAAUAAAAAAUGUAAGAAAAUUACAAUUUAUGUAAAUAAAAUUUAGUAUUUUGAAAAUAAUUUUAUUUUCGUAUCACAUUAAAUGUGUUAUCUUAGAUCCAUCAGUUUUAUAAUUUUUUUUCAAUUAUGUAAUGAUUUAAUUAUUGAAUUCUUUUUUUAUUGAACCUCGGACACCUUACUUAUUCACUUUAAAAAUGUAAAUUAUAUUCACUUGACUAUCCGACCAAAAAGAAUUAUGUAAUAAUAAGAUUAUUCUAUUUUAACUACUUGUGGCAUAUGACUAAGGUGAUUUGGCACACUGUGUUGACUUUUCUUAAUUAUUUUUAUUCGAUAUGACUUUAUUAAUUAAUUAACACUUUCUAAAAAAAAACUAGAGAAAUGAAACUAAAAGUGUUCCACUAAAAAUGAUUUUGAAGGGAAAGCGAGGCAGUGAAUAAAAUUAGUGUCCGCUUUGUCUAACCCACUAAAAAACGAGGUAGUGAUGGAUGCGGGGCAGGUUGACACGUUGGGUUGAUAUAUUAAAAAGAAACUCUUUUUUCAUUUCUUUUUACUUAAAAGUCACAGUCAAUUUAAUUUUUCAUUUUUUUCCUCCAUGUAGUAGGGAAAAAAAUUCAAUCUAUUUUAUCACUUUUGUUUCAUGAUUUGCGCCUCAUAUUUUUAACUCUUAGUCGGUUGAUAACUCAUGUAGUUUUUUCCUUUAAAAAAAAAAGCUCAUGUAGUUUUUAUUUUGAAUGUCUUAUCGAUUCAUUAUAGAUUUUUAGAUGAUGUCAUUUUUGUGUUUGAAAGAUUAUUCUCAUAACUUUAGUGGAGUCAUUUGUGAUAAAUUUAGAUUUUCUUAAAUUAGCUUUAAAUUUAUAUAUUUUUACAUUGUUUAUGUGAAGUUUUUAAUAAAUAAUUUUUUUUUUAAAAUAAUGAUGUGCCAACCUGUCGAUCUGCCAUAAAAUGAGGCGGGUGAGAUUUUCAACCUUAAUUGGUUCAUCCUACUUCAUCUCUUUUUAAACGGGUUAUUGACGGAAUCGGUUGACAUUUUUUGCCAUCCUUAAAAACUAAAGCCCACACUAUUAAAAAUGUUUUUUUUAAGGAUCUAUUAGAAAUGUAUGUACAUGUAAUACGUAAUAUGAGUGAGACAUUUUCUUCAAGGGGAUGUGAAGGAGACGUCAUUACUUAUCAGCAAAUGUUUAUAGCGUGUGUGAAUGUUAAGUGCUUCCAUAAAUGGGACCAUGCAACCAACUACUUAGCCAGGACCGCAAGAGAAAGUGUUAUUAAUUUGGUUAAAUGACACUGCAAAUCUUGCCAUAUAUUUGGUUUUAAUUUUGAAAGAUUUGGAGGUUUAAGUAUAUGUUUGGUUUUAAUUUUGAAAGUGUCAAAUGAUUACAGAGGAAUAAAAUAAAUUUUAACAUGUUCAGAUGUUUUAAAGUAGAAUUGAUUUUGGUUGUAGAAGCUAGAAUUUGUAGUUUUUGAAUUUUACUGUAAUUGAUUUUAACUUUGAAUUUUAUUAUUAACUCACUUUUACCUAUAUAUAUCCAUACUUAAAAAAUAAACUUAUGAUAUUCAGUUCCCUUUUAAUCGGUAUCAAUUUCACAAAAUCAAUCAUCCCCACUGUAUAACCAAAAUUAUUUUAUGUCUUUAACGGGAACAUCAUACCUCACCCAAAAUGAUUUUUUUUUUAAUAAGGCAAAAUGAAAUAAUAUAAUCACCAAGAACAGUUCAUCUCGCACAAGGCGUGCAAAGAUAAACGCUCCUCAAAAGAAUACAAGGUUCAGGUAUUUGUUGCCUAACAACAAACACAAAAAAAGAAGGAAAAGAAAACAUUACUCCAUAACACCCAUACAAAUUAAAGGGUGCCGCCACCAGUCAUUAUAACUGAAAGCGGAAGUUAGCCUAUUAGCCUUUAAUCAAGAAAAAGACACAAACUUUACAUUGUCAAAAAUUUAUUCCAAGUCUUGUGCUUUGUCUCUGAAGAUCUGUUGUUUCUUUCUUUCCAAACGAUCCAAACACAAGCGUGCAUCACCUUAAAAAAAAAGUAUGAGUAAAUCGCGGUAACCCCGCCAUAUAACUAAACUGCCGAAGAUGAUCACUGACAGAGUCUGGAGAGAUGAAAUAAAUAGCUAGCCACCUAUAAAUCUUGUUCCAAACACUGCCAAAUAUGUCACAUCGGAUUAGUAGGUGACAUAUCGACUCCAUGGAACCACAUCCACGGGUGGUUUAAUGAGCAAUAGCUAAGGUUUCUUAGAAUCAGCGGGAAUGAAACUUCAAAAAAUGAAAAUAAACAAAUUGAAAGAAAAGAAUUUGCAUUGCAUAUAUGAAAGUUAGUUCAACAAAUCACACAUACAUUGUUUUGUUAAUCUUUUCUCACCUUAACUUGGAUAUUUCGAGCAUAAAGAAUUUUGUAUUUGAUUUUUGACCCUUGUUCCCUAUGAAAAACUUCUAUAUAUACACAAUAAGAAAUAACUGAAACUAACGGUUCUAAAACUAUAAGUCUUCCACAAAUCCAACAUGCUUCCACGUGCCUUCAACCUUUGACCUUGUCUCUUUACAGACAAUUUGAAUUUAUUCUGUCGAAGCUGAAUGAUUUUGAAUAUGCCAAGACUAUCACAACCUAUCGAAGUAAUUUAUUUUUGGAUUAACACCAAGAGCGAAAAUUUAACUUCGGCCAAACAGUUUUCAGGUCGAAAACACAUAUUGAAAAUGCAGGCUAAGAGAUUGUCACUUUGCCUAUAAAUUAGUAGAACACGCUGCUCUAAGAUAUCUACUUACUUUUCAUUUCAUACCAAGCUUGGUUAUUUUUUGGAUACUAUACUCAAGAUAUUCUUGAAGUUUGUGGUGUUUCUUACUCUUAUUGUAGGUGCUCUAGAUGGUAAUGUACAAGGUAACACAUCUUGUUGCGAAAGAGGAGAAUUUUGUGACCCACCUCCCUGUGUUAGAUGCCCAUGUUGUGAUCCUCCAUUAAGGGAAAUGAAGCCCUAAAACUCGGCUUCACUUCUUUUAUUUUUACACCAAUUAUUUUGUAUUUAAGAAAAAUUCUUCUUAUAUCUAAUAAUCCCAUUAUUAAGAUUGGUAAAUAAAUUUUAUGCACAAUGACACAGUUUUUUUUUUAAGGGAUCACACGAAAAUAUAUUUAGCUUCAAAUAUGCUUACUUCUAAAGUAUAUUUUAUAAUAAGACUUGUUAUUUAUGAUGAUCAUUGUACUUCUAUAUUUUUCGCCUACCACAUCAGCGAAUUGUGAUUUUUUCCAUUGGUUAUUUAUUUAAGAUUUCAACCUUGUAAUUAUUUGGUGAUUUGACACUUUGACACAUUGCGUUGACUUUUUUAAAUUAUUUUUAUUCCACAUGACUUUAUUUAUUAAUUAACACUUUAAAAAAUAAAACAGAAAAUGAAAUUAAAAGUGUUCCAAACCGGGUCAAGGCCCAAAUCUUUUGGACCUAAAGUCCACUAUUCAGCUAAGGCCCAAUAAGACGUCCACUUAUAGUUGAAGAAUACUUGCACCGGUGAAGAGCUGCAUCGCACCAAAUGCUACACUCAGAGCACCUAUGAAAUAUCCACUUGAUACAACGGUAGCCCGAGCGAAGCGCUGCAAGGGCAAAACUAUCAUAUCCACGCAUAAGGGUCUAUAAAUAGGGUAUGCGUCACCGAAAAGCAAGGUACGCAUUCUAAGAAAUAUCGUAAAAUCUCAUUGAAACCUCGCUGACUUGAGCGUUGAAGUGUCUUUUAUUGAUACACCUUCUGCAUUAGGGAAGGAUUUACUUCAACCAUUGUGAACCACCGCGGCAGUUGAUUCGCACCACCACCGGGCACCAGCCAACUCUUCUAUUCCUUGAUAAGAACAGUGGCUAUGUCUGUGGGGAGGAAUUUCUAAGAACCUCGUUCCCCGAAACCUCUUUACCUUUUGACUACUACAACAAUGGGGAGGAAUCGACACCAAGAAUAAAGCAACCACUCGUUCACAAACCCUAACCAACAUUGCGGUACGAGAAUCUCCUCCACUGUGCAACAUGUCGCCCACAAUUAUUUCCACUCCACCGAUGAUCGUCAUCGUGAGGGCUCCAACACCUUCCAAACUUGUGAAAGAGUGCAUGCCUCCUCAUAUACAUUUAACGAUCGUUCCAAAUGAAGAUGUUAAGGGCUUUGUAUGAGUUCAUGACAACGACCAUUUGGAAGACCUAUACAAGCUAAUUUGACAACAAUCACAGAUGCUCGAGGAUCAAAAUCAAAGAUUGGCUUGACUGGAAAACAUGCAACUCCAACCAGUCAUCGUCACACCUCGAGUCCCUCUAUGAUGCAUCAUCAUGAGCACACUCCACAUUAAGCGGCAUAUCAAUUUGUCCAUGGAAAAAGUGUCUCAUGAGACUAGAGGCUAUGAACACGGUUACCAAAUAACAAAAGAGAAGAGAAUCAAACAUGACCUAAUCACUCUUUUAUCAUUGUCACCUCGUUACUUCUAAACCAAAUAUUGCCAAGUGAAAUCCUCCAAUUUACACAUCCUAAUUAUAAUUGUAGUUGUUAAGUGGAAAUUUCACAAUCAUUGUAGAGACGAACUUAUAAAUAUUAUUGCUCGAUGAAAGUCUAGUACACUUGCUAAAUUUUUUAUUUUUUUUUAACAAUACUUGCUAAAUAUUAUUGAUCUAACAGUAAGUAAUUAUCGACAUAAUUAUAGAUGGAUUUCCCUCUUUUGUGGCUAAAAUUUUAUCACUAUUUCAUUUUUUUUUUCUUCUAGUAGUUGAUAUAAUUAACCUUUCUUUUCUAACGUUAUGCUUUAGAUAAAACUAAGACGAUUUGUACUCUUUGCAUUGGAAAUAAAGAAUUUAUAAAAUAAUUAAUGAUAAAACUAAAUAUAUUUUGAUACAAAUAUACAUUAAUUAAACGACUUUUAAAUUUACCAAGCAUUGGAGCAGGUGGAGUAGGCGAGUGAGACUUUUUUCUACAAAUUAGAUAUUCAUAUUUCAUGCAAGUUAAUAUAUUACAUAAAAAACAACAAAAAUGUAAUGUCAUGAAAAUCACACGAGUACUCAUGCCUCCGGUUGUUGAUGGUGAAGUCAUCAUUAGUUAAAUCUAAAAUUAGUCGUAGUUGAUCUCUCGAUAUGAACGAACAAACAUGACAAGAAGAGAUACAAAACAACAAUACCGAACUUAAACGACGAAACCACAAGAUAAAAGGAAAAAAGUGAUGUAAAUGAGUGAUUCCGAAUAAAAAAAAUAUCCAAAACCACCCUCAAAGAAAAAGAAAUUAGAAAAAAAUAUAAAGUUUCUUUCAUUAAAAAAACUAGAGGCGGCUCUAUUAGAAAUGUACGUACAGGUAAUAUGAAUGAGACAUUACUUUUUUUUAAGGGAAUGUGAAUGAGACGUUAUUAGCAUAUGUUUAUAGUGUGUCAAUGUUUAGUGCUUCCAUAAAUGGGAUGACCGUGCAACCAGGACCACAUAUAUGUUUCCAUCAAGAGAAGGUGUUACUUGGUUAAAUGACACUGCAAAUCUUAGCCAUAGAUUUGGAGGUUCAAAGUUCAUUAAGUGUAUGUUUGGUUUCAAUUUUCAAAGUGUUAAAAUUAAUUUAUGAGAAGUAGAAUUGAUUUUACUAGUAGAAAGCUAGAAUUUCUAGCUUUUAGCUUCUACUGCAAUUGAUUUUAAUCUUAAAUUUCUUGUUAACUCACUUUUAUCUAAAUAUAUCAAAUCAAAACAUAAAAAAUUUAUAUUCAAUUCAUUUUCAGUUAGAAUCAAUUUUACAAAAUCAAUCAACUGAACAAUGUGUCAGAUGUACAUCUUUGUCUUCUGUGUCUUUAACGGGAGCAAACUUAUAUUAGUUCGCCUCUAAGGAUGACCCUGGUUGGAUUCAUUGCUUGAACAACCUCCAUGGUUGUUUAUCAACAUUGUUUUUAGAGCAGAAGAACUUAGCAAAGCUCUGAAUAGCUUUAAUAAUCUUUGAUAAUUUUUCAUUUUAUUCUUAUUUCAAACCAAUCUGUAUUUUAGAAAUUCAACAUAUGAUAAGGAAGUAUCGCUUAUUAUGUGACUGAGACAUUAUUUACUAAGAGCAACUUACCUCUAGUUUAUAAUUGUAAAACAUCACUUACAGCACAUAACAUGAUCUAUUUUCUUUGGAUUGCUCAUAAAGCAUGUAGGAUCAAGUAUGAGAUUAUUUGACAGAAGGAUCAAGUAAUUUUGGUAAAUCAAAGUAUUUUUCAACAUAUUUUAAUAUUUAUCAAUGCAUCACACUAUUUUGGCACACAAAAUGAUCAAGAUUAAGAUAGAUAAGUAAAACCGGCAUAGGAAUAUCCCUUAAAACUCUCUUGUCUAAGAAUCUCUAUGAAAAUUAUUUUGGAAAUACCGACAUCCAAAGUAUUUGGACAAAGUGCCAACCACCAAAAGACAAGAAUUGAAGAGAUAGAAAAAAGUAGUGUAUAGUGAUGGCCAACCAGAGACUAUUAUUAACAACUCUACAUCAAAAUACUCCACACACAGACACACUAAAAUAACAAAUUUUUGAGGCAAUAACUUUCGACAAGAGAAAUGACACAAUACAGAAUAAAUUAAAACAAAAUAAAAUAAAAAGAAUCAAACUAAUGCCAAAGGUUUAGCCACUUGUUUUCUCCAUCUUCUGAUUCAACACUUCUGUACAAUCUCAUAAAAGACAAUGCCUCCCACAUGGACUAAGGUGUUGAAUACCACUAGAUGCAACCUUUUCUAUUUUUUUGUUCUUACCACAUGCUCUUGUUGAGCUCAAAAAGAUGCUGAUCAUCAUUUUUUUAUUCACCCCAUGGCCACCACCAACAGUCCUUUUGAAAACCAACUAUACGAUCUUUUUGGUCGUUUUUUUGUCCUUAUGAGAGGCAUUGGUCCCUUCUACAAGUUUAUUGUUGUGUUGUGUGAGGCCAGCUCACGAGACGAUUUUGGACAUAUCCCUGCUAGAUCUGUUAUAUUUCAUGUGACUCUUAACUAGUUGUCCAGCUGCAAUUGCAGACAUGAGUGAUAGCUCGCCGGCAAGUACCGAACCAGCUACGAUGGUGGCCAAUAGCCUAGCAUUUGCACCUGGAGAUUCUGUGUUGGCGCCCUUAACACCAAGUAAAUUAAGACAAGCUGACUGAGAUGCAAGUUGUGUUCCCCCUCCCACAGUACCAACCUAAAUUAUUAAACAAAAUCUAGCUAAGGAUAUAAUAAAAUGGAAGAGAAUUUAAAAAUAAAAGACCCUUAUAAAUACGCAUUAACAAUUUUUUUUAAAAAGAAAAUCAUGCUCGGUGGUUGGUUGUAGUAGUAAACUAAAAAUCAAGUUUCCUACUACAUGUAUGUUUGGCUAAAAAUGGAAAAAGUUUAACAUUUGCACCAAAGUGUAAAUUUCAGAUUAUGUUUAUUUAAUUCCAAAGGGACCACUAAUUUAUGUACCUCAAUGGAAGGCAUGGUGACAGAAAUGUGAAGGUCCUUGCCAUCAUUCACAGCUUCCAUCAUGGUAAUACAAUGAGAACUCUCCACAUUCUGAGCAGGAUCUUGACCAGUGGCUAUGUAGACAGCAGAGACAAUGUUGCUAGCAUGAGCAUUGAACCCACCAAGAGCACCAGCAAGGGCUGAUCCAGUUAGGUUCUUAAGCAUGUUAAGCUCAACCAGUGCCUCCACACUAGUCUUCAACACUUUCUUCACAACCUCUUCCUUAAUAACAGCCUCACACACCACAGACUUACCACGCCCUUCAAUCCAGUUUACAGCCGCCGCUUUCUUGUCGGAACAGAAAUUUCCUGCCAUAACCAAACCAACAGUGUGCAUGAAAACAUUAGCAACUAUUUUCAAUUCAACCAUAACAAGGAACAGUUUUAGGAUUAAUGGUAUGAAGAAAAAAUUAUACAAACAAGCUCAUGAUUUACCUGAGAUUCCAAUGACAUCCAUGUCAGGAAAGUCACUCUGAAGAAAAUCAAGGACAUUUUGAACACCUUUUGACACCAUGUUCAUCCCCAUGGCAUCACCAGUACUACAACGGAAACGAAUGUACAAAUUCUUGCCAGCAAUUGUCGGCUGAAGGCUCUGCAAUCUAGCAAAUCUGCUUGAUCUGCACAAACCCAUUAAAUUGUUAAUGAAUGAAUCAACAAUAACACAUACCCAUUUUAAUUGAACAACCCCAGUAAUUCUUAAAAACAGAAAGUGAUCAUAGUUCAAGAAAUUGAAUUCUAUAUGACCUCAUCCCUCCAUAAAUUGGAUCCUAUUGACCUCUCCAUCCGCAACAACUCCAACGGCUAAAACCAUUCUGUAAACCUUUAGGUUAAUCUAAGAACUAAGAUUUUACGUGACAAAACAACUGUUUGUCGAAGAGGAUUAACAACUAAUUAUAGAUCCUCUCCACAUUGGCCCUUGUUAUCCCCUCUCUAAGUUUGGACUGGCAGUAAGACUAACAAUAUCACGCUGAGUCGUCAUGAUUUUAACAAAAGUUAGACUUUGGAGCUUCACAAAAUCAUGGAGUCUUCGUGACUUAGCCAAACUCACGAUCAAUCCAAACAUAUUUUCUCUUUUCUUCACAUGCUAUGAUCCCUUGCAACAUUACUGGACGUUGGAUCAAAGACAUAAAUUUUAAAAUUUGAACCAACGGCCCUGCAACCCUUGCAAGGGAUCCAAUCAAUCAACAAAUCCCUCAACCUAAAAUCCAAAAGUCCCUAAAUCACUGCAUAUCAAUUGCAUCAAAAUUAACAUUCAUUUUUCACCAAAUAACAACUCAUAACCCAAAGAAAAUACUACUAAAAACAAAGUAAAAUGAACAAAAAAAAAGAAAAAAAUCCAUACUUGUUGAAAGUGACAGCAAGUGUAUCAAAAUUAAGCGGAUCUUCCAAGAAAAACUUCAACUCAGCAGCUCUUUUGGCCGACGAAAACCUAACAACAGGUGCUCUGGUCAUUCCAUCUCUAAGCAAAACAGAAGAAGCUCCACCAGAAACAUGAAUAGCUUUACACCCUCUAUUAGUACUUGCAACAAGACACCCUUCAGUGGUAGCCAUGGGCACAGUGUACUCAACUCCAUCUAACAACAGUGGACCCGCAACACCAACCGGAAUUUGAACAAACCCUAUCGGCAUCUCACAACACUGUCCCAAUAUCGAAUCGUAAUCAAAACCUUCCAACGGUAAACCUUCUAGAGAUUUUCCAGUUAUCGUUUGCACCGCUGAACGACGUAUCGCCGCCGCUUUACGACAGUCUGCUAGUCUGGAUUCUAAGGAAUACGACGGAAUUGAACCGGUGACAACUGAUUUUGCAAUUUCUUCGUCUUCCGGUGUGAGAUUCACGGGUGCAACAACUUCAUAGAUCUUCACUGGAGCUACAAUUGGAGUUAAUGUUGCUGGUGGUGGUUUUACGUCGGUGUCGACAAGUGCUGCUGGACACGGUCCUGGUUUUCGUGAGUCUUCUUUAGCGAGAAUCUCUUCAUCGGAGAGAUCGUCCGGGAAGGAAGUACGUGAUCCGAUACCGAAGAAACCUAGAAGGUAAACGGCGGAGGCUAUGAGAGAAACGAUGGCGGCGGUUUCUGAGACUGUGACGACAUGAAGAGGAGUUUCCGUACGGAUCUUCUCACGCCAACGGUGGAGGAGGAAAUACGCGACGGAGAAGAAAACACCGAAGAAAACAGCGUUAGUGACACAGAGAAAAACAGUCUGUGAAUUGAGGUUUUCUCCGGUGGUGGUGGUAGGAAGAGAUUUAAGCUUCUGGGUUUUGAGGUUUUCGCCGCCGGCGGGAGAACGUGGAGGAAGAGAUUUAAGUCUCCGGCGAGCGUCCAUAUUUUUUCCGACGAGUUUUGAAUCUACGAAAAUGCAGAAACAAAAAACGAAGGAGAAAAAUGGAAAGAAAACCCAGAAGCGAAAAACGAGGGAAAGGGUUUUGAAAGUUUUUGUUUGAUU